CCAUCUAGUAGCUGGUUCCCUCCGA
rnacentral:ncRNA from 4 species